GUCUGUGUUGAGAUUUUUUGGGAUAUUUUCAGAAACUUGAUCAAAUUUCUCCAACUAGAUGCAUGUUCAGGUUGGAGAUGGGGAUGAUGACAGACCAGCCAGCCGAACUUGAAUUUGAGUAAACAUCAUGCGCCACCUGGUUGCUGAAGCUCGAGAGGACCUUUUUGGACAAAAAAUCCUGUUCAAGAUACAUUAGUUCUGUCUGGAAUUCCAUACCACCUCCAGAGGAUGGAAAAUGCCUUCAAAUUCUGAUGUGCAAGCAGCCUGAAGUGGUCAAACAAUUUGAAACUGGAUGCAGCACAGAAUCCCAUAUUUCAAGAGAAUGCAGAUGUUAGUCACCCCUGUCAAACUUGUUUGUGUGUGAAUAAUACAAAAUGUGACAUUUAAAGCAAAUAUGUAAUAAUUGAGUAACGUAUAGACAGUUGCAAAACUCUGUUCUGUUAAUUUUGUGCCAUAUUUAGCAUUUAAAACCAGAUACUUUUGUUUGUUCGGUUUCUUUUAUUCAUGAUUUUUUCAAGAAGAAGUCAGUUCGUUGUAUAGGAGUUAUGGUGUUUUAACUGUCAAUGAAUCCAAGAUCACUGUAUGUUGUUGAACUGAUAUAUAUAUAUAUAUGUUAAACAUUUAAGAUCCAGCUGUCAGUACAGAAAACAUUGAUUGUGCUUUUGAGAACACUGAAUUUUAUCAACAUAAUUUGACACUGUACAUAUUGCAAGCAUUUUUUCAGAUAAAUCUAUAUAAAUUAGUUGUAGAUAACUGUAGCCUUAAUUUGUGCAUAUUAACAUAUGUGAAUAGUUUAAUAGCCUUAUGAUGUCAUUCUGUAUAAAUUAUAUAAUAUAAUCAUUUUAAUUGUUUCAAUUGUUUUCAUAUAUAAAUGGUUUUGUAACUGAAAUUUGGUCUUGCUCUAUUGGCUGGUACACUCAACAAAUAUAAAAAAUAUAUGAAAUAGUGCUUUAUAUAUAUAGUGAGCUCAGCUGACAGUUUUUCACUGAGUUCUUGUUUGGGUGACAUGUUCCAACAAUAUCACUGACUUUAUUAUUUUUAUUGUAUAUUCUAUAUAGGUGAUAAAUUUAGAAUAUAUUUUCAGCUCUGUUGAAUGUUGAUUGUAAUUGCAAUUUAUCAUUUCUUUUUAGAUCACCCUGUGGGUUAAACAUUAUGUGAGGGUUAGAAGUCAUUUGAUUGUAAUUACACCUUGAUAAGUUUAAACUUUAUUAUACGGGGUCUUGAAAAUCCCAUGAUAUGAGCAAUUGGUUUUGACUAUAUUCAUGCUUCAUUUAGAAUAUACCUCAUAAGAGGUCAUAACAUAUUGGGCCUAUAAAAGUUGGAAAAUUUUAACAUUAAUUUAUUCACACAAUUUUAUUUUCCACCAAAUGUAAAAAACAACCUUUUUAUCAAAAAGCAAGACAAAAAGGUCACUGUUGGUGAUCUGUAAGAAUACAUGUUUUGCUGCAAAUUUAACUGUCACAGGUCUUUUGGUUUAUACCUGAUUUUAGCAAAGCUGUUUACAAUAUUCAUUAAUUGAAAUUUAGAUAAUUUUGAUCAUUAGACAUGAUGUUUGUCAGAUUUGUCAUUGCAAAUACAAAUUAUUUUAAAGUUUAUUGAAAGCAUCGUUUAGAUAAUUCUGUUCUAAACAACACAUUAGUCAUUAGUUCAUAAUUAACAUUUUGCAACUUUUUUGGCGGGGGUGGGGUGUAUGUUUUUUUAACAAACAAAUAAGAAUAUAUUCUGUAUUCUCACUGAGAUAUUUUGCAGACAAUAUGCCAGAGCUGCUUGGCUACAUAUUGUUCAUAUACAAUCAUAAUUAUUAGUAAUUGAUUAAAUGUUUUACCAUCAUAUUUAAAUAAAUUUUUGCCCAUUCAAUUUAAAGUUUGCGUACCACCUCAAAUAUUUUCAAAGUCCAUUGAUAUACUGUUUUGAAACUUCGCACGCUUGUUCAUCAUCUUGCCCCCAACCUGUACACAGGAGGAGGUCACUGUAUCGAGCAUUUUGACAGAAUUAUGCCCCUUUUUUGACUUAGAAUUUAUGUGUAAGUUUGCGUACCACCUCAAAUAUUUUCAAAGUCCAUUGACAUCUGGCUUUGAAACUUUGCACGCUUGUUCACCAUAAUGCCCCCAACCUGUACACAGGAGGAGGUAACUCUAUCAAGCAUUUUUACAAAAUUAUGCCCCUUUUUCAACUUACAAUUUAUGUUAAAGUUUUCGUACCACCUCAAAUAUUUUCCAAUUCAAUUUAUGUAAAUCUCAGCACAUCAUUUAUUGCAUUAAAAUCUAAUAUAACAGUGAUCAAUGCAUGUUUCGCCAAAACUUUUCCGUCCAUACUCCGAAAAGCGGCGGAAUGGUCGAGCGCGCUGUCUCUGUGACAGCUCUUGUUUUUAUUUAUUUUCUGUUUGUAACAUAUUCCUCAAAUGCGUUUGUGUACUUGAUCUCAAAUGCAUAGUAGCUUUAAUUAAGUUAAUUAAGAAGAAUAACUCUAAAUUCAUAUAAAAUAUAAAGUAAUGCAUUAUAUAUAAUGUUUACACUAUUAUUGAUGCAUGUACACUAAAUAAAUUGCUAACAGCAACAGAACUGCUUGUUAUUUAAAAAGUUUUAUUAACAUAUACAAAAAAACGUUUCCCUUUUACUCCUAGUAUGUUUCACUUAGUCAUUAAGUAAACUUAAUGU